rnacentral:lncRNA from 1 species
CUAACGGAUAAAACGGAUGUGAAACGGACAUCAACGGAAGGAUAACGGAUAAAACGGAUGCCUACCAGAUGUAAAACGCACAAAUGCCAAUUGAAAUUUCGCGUCAGAAAUGCCAAUAUUUGGUAUGUUAGAUUUUCUUGAGUGUCAUGAAUUUUUAUUAUUCGUGAUGGAUCUUGGAGUAAGAGCACGUCUUCGCUACCAAGCAGCUCUUAUUCAUGGCAGACUCAGCUUAAAUGUAGCAAAUAUAAACCUUAUAGCUGUCGAAAAGAGAAGAAGGAGAAGACAAAGGAGAUGGUGGACACGACCAUGGCUUAGUCCUGAAAGACGACGCAGUUUUGGUCUAUAUGACCAACUCAUGACCAAACUUAGGCGGGAGGAUCGGCAAUCCUUUUUACACUUCCUUCGUAUGCCCACAGAGAUGUUCGACGAGAUAUUGCAGCGGGUUGGACCUCGCAUAGCCAAGCAGAAUACCUUUUACAAAAAUCCGCUGGAACCAUGACUCAAGUUAGCAAUUAUAUACACUUAGACACCUUGCGUCUGGAACAAAAUAUCGUAGCAUGCAGUACGGAUGGAGAGUUCCGCAUAACACCAUAUCCGUUUUCAUACCAUAAUAUGAACAAAUUCAGAAAAUCAACUUAAACUCUAUAAGACUGAAUUACCACACUGCUUCUACCUUGAUUUUUUUAAUCAGAGGAGCUCUAUAUUUGCACACAUAUCAUGCUAAACAAGACGCAAUACAAAAUAAAAUCAACUAAACCAGUUAACUAAAGUGACCCUCGAGUGUAAAAACGUUAAAAAAAAAAUUGGAUAAAUUGUUCAAUUUGUUUGUUACGUAUGAUCUUGAUACCUGUCCUACUGACCACACUUUCCCAGAAGUAAAUAUUAUAACAUAUAUACAAGAUACCAUGACCAUCUGACGCGCCUUUAAUUUUCAGAUGGUUUAUUGCUUUUACUUUUCAGAAGGUUUGUUGCCUUUAAUUUUUAGAUGGUUUAUUGCCUUUAAUUUUCAGAUUAUUAUGUUCAUCCGUUUUAUCCGUUACGCUUCCGUUAGGUGUCCGUUUUAUCCGGUACUCGUCCGUUGGAUGUACGUUCGACGUCCGUUCUGUCCGAUAGGUAUCCGUUUCACGUGCGUUCAAUGUCCGUUGUGUGUCCGUUAGGCAUUCGUUACAUGUCCACUAGUACACCAACGGACACCCAACGGAUAAAAAGUUUGUCAACGGAUAACUUUUUUUUAUCCGUUAGGCGUCCGUCCGAGCUAUCCGGUAAGGUGUGACCGAG